AUUGAACGCUGGCGGCAGGCCUAACACAUGCAAGUCGAACGAGUGGCGGACGGGUGAGUAAUGUCUGGGAAACUGACCGAUGGAGGGGGAUAACUACCGGAAACAGUAGCUAAUACCGCAACCAAUCGGAUGUGCCCAGAUGGGAUUAGAGAGUAGGUGGGGUAACGCCUCACCUAGGCGACGAUCCCUAGCUGGUCUGCGAGGAUGACCAGCCACACUGGACCUGAGACACGGUCCAGACUCCUACGGGAGGCGGCAGUGGGGAAUAUUGCACUAUGGGCGCACGCCUGAUGCAGCCAUGCCGGGUGUAUGAAGAAGUCCUUCGGGUUGUAAAGUACUUUCAGCGAGGAGGCGUUACUCGCAGAAGAAGCACCGGCUAACUCCGUGCCAGCAGCCGCGGUAAUA
rnacentral:rRNA from 1 species